GUGCCAGUAGCUCAGCCGGAUAGAGCAACUGCCUUCUAAGCAGUGGGUCGGGGGUUCGACUCCCUCCUGGCGCA
rnacentral:tRNA from 2 species